AUUGAACGCUGGCGGAAUGCUUUACACAUGCAAGUCGAACGGUAGAGGGGGCAACCCCUUGAGAGUGGCGAACGGGUGAGUAAUAUAUCGGAACGUGCCCAGUCGUGGGGAUAACGUAGCGAAAGUUACGCUAAUACCGCAUACGAUCUAAGGAUGAAAGCGGGGGAUCGCAAGACCUCGCGCGAUUGGAGCGGCCGAUAUCAGAUUAGGUAGUUGGUGAGGUAAAGGCUCACCAAGCCAACGAUCUGUAGCUGGUCUGAGAGGACGACCAGCCACACUGGAACUGAGACACGGCCCAGACUCCUACGGGAGGCAGCAGUGGGGAAUUUUGGACAAUGGGCGCAAGCCUGAUCCAGCAAUGCCGCGUGCAGGAUGAAGGCCUCGGUUGUAACUGCUUUGUACGGUAACGAAACGGU
rnacentral:rRNA from 1 species